rnacentral:rRNA from 1 species
GAUGAACGCUGGCGGCGUGCCUAAUACAUGCAAGUCGAGCGAACGGACGAGAAGCUUGCUUCUCUGAUGUUAGCGGCGGACGGGUGAGUAACACGUGGAUAACCUACCUAUAAGACUGGGAUAACUUCGGGAAACCGGAGCUAAUACCGGAUAAUAUUUUGAACCGCAUGGUUCAAAAGUGAAAGACGGUCUUGCUGUCACUUAUAGAUGGAUCCGCGCUGCAUUAGCUAGUUGGUAAGGUAACGGCUUACCAAGGCAACGAUGCAUAGCCGACCUGAGAGGGUGAUCGGCCACACUGGAACUGAGACACGGUCCAGACUCCUACGGGAGGCAGCAGUAGGGAAUCCUCCGCAAUGGGCGAAAGCCUGACGGAGCAACGCCGCGUGAGUGAUGAAGGUCUUCGGAUCGUAAAACUCUGUUAUUAGGGAAGAACAUAUGUGUGAGUAACUGUGCACAUCUUGACGGUACCUAAUCAGAAAGCCACGGCUAACUACGUG